rnacentral:rRNA from 1 species
AUACGGAGGGGGUUAGCGUUGUUCGGAAUUACUGGGCGUAAAGCGCGCGUAGGCGGUUUGUUAUGUCAGAUGUGAAAGUCCACGGCUCAACCGUGGAAGUGCAUUUGAAACUGGCAAACUUGAGUACUGGAGGGGGUGGUGGAAUUCCCGGUGUAGAGGUGAAAUUCGUAGAUAUCGGGAGGAAUACCGGUGGCGAAGGCGACCACCUGGCCAGAUACUGACGCUGAGGUGCGAAAGCGUGGGGAGCAAACAGGAUUAGAUACCCUAGUAGUCC